AUAUCACCAGUUCUCCUACAAUCAUCAAAGUUAAGCAACAUUGAGCCUGGUCAGUACCUAGAUUGGUGACUGCUUGGGAAUACCAGGUGCCGGA